CCUACGGGAGGCAGCAGUGGGGAAUUUUGGACAAUGGGGGCAACCCUGAUCCAGCCAUUCCGCGUGAGUGAAGAAGGCCUUCGGGUUGUAAAGCUCUUUUGUUCGGGACGAAACGGUUAAGGUUAAUAACCUUGACUACUGACGGUACCGGAAGAAUAAGCACCGGCUAACUACGUGCCAGCAGCCGCGGUAAUACGUAGGGUGCGAGCGUUAAUCGGAAUUACUGGGCGUAAAGCGUGCGCAGGCGGUUUUGUAAGCCAGAUGUGAAAUCCCCGGGCUCAACCUGGGAAUGGCAUUUGGGACUGCAAGGCUAGAGUAUGGCAGAGGGGACUAGAAUUCCUGGUGUAGCAGUGAAAUGCGUAGAUAUCAGGAGGAAUACCGAUGGCGAAGGCAGGUCCCUGGGCCAAUACUGACGCUCAUGCACGAAAGCGUGGGGAGCAAACAGGAUUAGAUACCCUGGUAGUCCCACCGACCUAACCGACUAGUCACUAGUUGGUUGGGGUAGUUUAUUUACUUCUUACGUUAACGUAACGACGUAACGUCGUAGUAAGUUAGUACCGUCCGUCGGGAGGUACGGUCGCGAGAGUAAACGUACGAAGUAAGUAGUAGNGUUGUAGAGUUGCGACGGCGCGACGAGGGAGGAGG
rnacentral:rRNA from 1 species